rnacentral:lncRNA from 12 species
UGUGUGUCUUUCAUUCUGUCAGCUGGUGUUGCCUCAGUUUCUGAAAGUCGUGCCUGUCUACAUUAACAGUCUGUGCAAAAGUGAAGUGCUGCUGCCUGAGCUGCGGAGCUCUGUACAUCAGCGUCUACGACUGCGUAACCUCCAUGGACUCCAUGGACACGCUGAGCACUGCUUCCCAGUUCUACCCACUUAAACUGCCUCUGUCUGUCUCGGCUGAUGAUGCCAACAUGCCGUCAUUAGGGAAAGCCAUGCGCUGCACUAUCUCUAGUGUGGAUCCAGGGGGUCUGUAUCUGAUCUACUGCCCACUGGCACUGAUCCUUUGGGUGGGCAGCUGUGUGCCUCCUCAUACUCUUCUACAGCUUUUCAACACCAACUCCUUCUACCUCACAUCUGGAGAGAUCAAACUUCCAGUGCUUGAGAACUCCCUCUCUAUCAGCACCAGAGCUCUCGUAUGCUCUCUGCAGUCCUCAGCAGCUGUUACUCUCCAGGUGAAUGACUCACACCUUUCAUUUGUACAGUAUUUAAUUCAGGAACUGACAGGAUUAACUUUUUGAGGAAAAAAAAUCAGCACAGCUAAAACCACAGUAAUGGAUUUGACAGUUUUUCUUUCCAAACUCAGUUGUGGCAUUAAAAUGUGUUUAAUUGUGCUUAUAGUUGAUUUAUAUAUUUUAAAAUGUGUAUUUGUUUUUGUUCAGCUAAAACUGGUUUGAGAGGGUGACAGCUGUGAGGAGUCUCUGCAGCGCCUCCUGGUGGAGGACAAGAGUCCGUACGGUGGAGCUUCAUAUGCUGAUUUCCUUUUUCACCUUCAUGUCAAUGCAUUGCGUCUUACUGUGUGACAGUCUCUUCUCAUAGACAAGGCUGUAAAAUAUUUGUAAAGCCCUUUGUGUCUCCCUUCGUGUCUACCUUUUGCUCCCUCUAUAGCCAUUGCUGUCAUUCUAAAAUCAAUGAGGAAUAAGAAUUCUGUCUUGUAUGGAUUUACCAAACAAUUACCUCUGAAAUACUUAUAUUUUGCAAAUUUAGUAAAUACAAAUUUGAUGUGACCAGCUUAUUAUAGGAGAAAUGCUGAAUACUAAAAUUAGUCCUUUCAUUUUCAAGGGUCCAGAAUGACGAAUACUGUUUGAACUCCCAUCAAAGACUCAGUGAUUAAUGAUUCUGUAUUUGAAGUGUGUGUGUGUGUGUGUGUGUUUGGUUCUAGACAUGGGUUUGAUUUAACAUUUGCUCUUGAGUCAUGAAUAUUGCACUCUGAAUUGAUUUCAUGAAUUAGCCCAACUGACAGUGAUGAGUAAGAGUGUGCAUGUUAAUAUUUUUCAAGCAAUAAUAUAUUCAUUUUUUUUAAAUUACACAUCAAUAUUUAAUGUCUUGAUAAAACCACAGAUAUUUUUCAAUGAGCCACCAUCAUGUUAACCUAACACUUUACAGUUUUAAUCAUUUAUUUAUAUAUUUAUUUAUUUUAUGAAGAAUAUACGUUUCUCUCCAAAAAUGAAUAAAUAACUGAAAAUGUGUGACUGGCUCUGAAUCAUUCUCAGCCGAAUCUCUUUAGCAUUGAUCUUCUUUAUGUUCUUGUGCAUUUCUGUCCCUCCUCCACAGAGAACCAAAACACUCCUAAUGAGUCAUACCAACUCUGAUUAGUGUAAUUGGGGUUAAUGAUGUUGACAUUGAGCUGAAUAUGAAAUAUCCGAGUGGGUGUCCAAGUUAGUUAUCUAAUGGCUGAAAAAAUACACACACACACACACACACACACACACACACACACACACACACACACACACACACACACACACACACACACACACACACACACACACACACACACACACACACACACACACACACACACACACACACACACACACACACAC